CCUCCUACAACAUUAAAAAAAAAGUGGUGGUUAUAUAAGUACCUCGGCUCUCAUCCCUUUGGUCUACAAAGACUCAUGGAGUAAAUUUUUGGUUAAAAAAAAUGUCAUUUUGGCCGGGCGCGGUGGCUCACGCCUGUAAUCCCAG